GCGGGCCUCGGCUUGCUGGCUGAAGUCUCCGGGCGGUAUGCCCGGUCCGGCGUUGGUGGCGUUGGCGCCGGCGCCGAUCAGGGCCGCGAGCCCGGU
rnacentral:tRNA from 1 species